CUGUGAAAACAAGCCCAAAACAAGUGACUUUUUCUACGGAGCCCCCCCUAGGUUCCGGGAAGCGAAAAAUAAAUAAACUGUGUGCACGGUUUUACAAUUACAGAUUGUCAAUUUACAUCCAUGUGGACAGAUUGGUAAACUGUGCACAGUUUUGCAAAACUGUACUCAUGGUUUUCCCCCCCCUGAGCUUCAGGACAAUGACCACAAGAGGGAGUUAAACCACCUUUUAACAUUUAACAUUAGAAAACUGAUGGAAUAUCAAAUAAAGUUCAUUCACAGUGCUUUUGAGUCGUCCCCCACGACGGGUUGAAUCCAUUCUUUUACUCCUUUCUCUUUCUCCCAGUCUUUGUUAUAUUUCUUCCAGUAUUUCGCCCACUUUGUCCCGGGCAUUUGUUCCUCCAAAAACUCUCCUAGAGUCCAGUCACCAUCAGUCGCGACUCGCGCGUAUUUUCAUUUAAACGUCACUCACUGACGUUUUCCUAAACAGAAAAAAAACAGAUUGCCCUGCUCUGCCUCUGAUUGGCUAGUACUCGUUGCCAUCUGGGUCAGAGCCAAUUAGAAGCAGGAUGUGGGUGGG